AAGAGUAUGGUGGAAUUGGUAGACACGGUAGAUUUAGGAUCUAUUAACGAAAGUUGUGCAGGUUCAAGUCCUGUUACUCUUA
rnacentral:tRNA from 1 species